AUCAUCCUACGGGGCGCAGCAGUGAGGAAUAUUGGUCAAUGGACGCAAGUCUGAACCAGCCAAGCCGCGUGAGGGAAGAAGGCCCUGCGGGUCGCAGACCUCUUUGGACGGGGAGCAAGGCCGCCGACGUGUCGGCGGAAGGAGAGUACCCGUAGAACAAGCAUCGGCUAACUCCGUGCCAGCAGCCGCGGUAAUACGGAGGAUGCGAGCGUUAUCCGGAUUUAUUGGGUUUAAAGGGUGCGCAGGCGGCACGGCAAGCCGGCGGUCAAAUCGCGGGGCUCAACCCCGCCCAGCCGUCGGAACUG
rnacentral:rRNA from 1 species